AGGGUGUAAACGCUGCAGACUUGGUGUUGGAAGCCCUUUGGGGGCAUUCAGUGCCGGAGAGAAGUUGUUAAGUCUGCUACUUGGGGAGUACGUCCGCAAGGAUGAAACUUAAAGGAAUUGGCGGGGGAGCACCGCAACGGGAGGAGCGUGCGGUUUAAUUGGAUUCAACACCGUAAAACUCACCAGGGAAGACUGUUACAUGAAGGCCGAGAUGAAGACUCUGCUAGAUUUACAGAGAGGAGGUGCAUGGCGUCAGUGACU
rnacentral:rRNA from 1 species